GACGAACGCUGGCGGCGUGCUUAACACAUGCAAGUCGAACGGAAAGGCCCUGCUUUUGUGGGUGCUCGAGUGGCGAACGGGUGAGUAACACGUGAGUAACCUGCCCUUGACUUUGGGAUAACUUCAUGAAACUGGGGCUAAUACCGGAUAGGAGCUCCUGCUGCAUGGUGGGGGUUGGAAAGUUUCGGCGGUUGGGGAUGGACUCGCGGCUUAUCAGCUUGUUGGUGGGGUAGUGGCUUACCAAGGCUUUGACGGGUAGCCGGCCUGAGAGGGUGACCGGCCACAUUGGGACUGAGAUACGGCCCAGACUCCUACGGGAGGCAGCAGUGGGGAAUAUUGCACAAUGGGCGGAAGCCUGAUGCAGCAACGCCGCGUGCGGGAUGACGGCCUUCGGGUUGUAAACCGCUUUCGCCUGCGACGAAGAGUGAGUGACGGUAAUGGGUAAAGAAGCACCGGCUAACUACGUG
rnacentral:rRNA from 1 species